rnacentral:misc_RNA from 1 species
AUGGAAUGUCUGAAUACAAUAUUCUCAACAUCUUUCAAGAAAUGACUGUGGCCACCAAUGCCUAUCGAACCCAGACAUGUACUACUGACCAAGCUAUUGCGGAACUUCUCAUAGCAGGAUUCUCAGGUUAACUUAAAGGAUGGUGGAAUUAUUAUCUCACUCCCCAACAGAAACUUAAGAUUCUAAAGUCUAUUAAACUUGAUGAAGAUCAAGAACCAAUACUUGAUGAGCAUGACAGACCAAUUCAAAAUGCUGUUGUCUGUCUGGAAUAUCUUGAAGAUUGGCUAGUUGUA